UUUAAUGAGAGUUUGAUCCUGGCUCAGGACGAACGCUGGCGGCGUGCCUAAUACAUGCAAGUAGAACGCUGAAGAGAGGAGCUUGCUCUUCUUGGAAGGGAUAACUAUUGGAAACGAUAGCUAAUACCGCAUAACAAUGGGUGACCCAUGUCAUUCAUUUGAAAGGGGCAACUGCUCCACUACAAGAUGGACCUGCGUUGUAUUAGCUAGUAGGUGAGGUAACGGCUCACCUAGGCGACGAUACAUAGCCGACCUGAGAGGGUGAUCGGCCACACUGGGACUGAGACACGGCCCAGACUCCUACGGGAGGCAGCAGUAGGGAAUCUUCGGCAAUGGGGGCAACCCUGACCGAGCAACGCCGCGUGAGUGAAGAAGGUUUUCGGAUCGUAAAGCUCUGUUGUAAGUCAAGAACGAGUGUGAGAGUGGAAAGUUCACACUGUGACGGUAGCUUACCAGAAAGGGACGGCUAACUACGUGCCAGCAGCCGCGGUAAUACGUAGGUCCCGAGCGUUGUCCGGAUUUAUUGGGCGUAAAGCGAGCGCAGGCGGUUUGAUAAGUCUGAAGUUAAAGGCUGUGGCUCAACCAUAGUUCGCUUUGGAAACUGUCAAACUUGAGUGCAGAAGGGGAGAGUGGAAUUCCAUGUGUAGCGGUGAAAUGCGUAGAUAUAUGGAGGAACACCGGUGGCGAAAGCGGCUCUCUGGUCUGUAACUGACGCUGAGGCUCGAAAGCGUGGGGAGCGAACAGGAUUAGAUACCCUGGUAGUCCACGCCGUAAACGAUGAGUGCUAGGUGUUGGGUCCUUUCCGGGAUUCAGUGCCGCAGCUAACGCAUUAAGCACUCCGCCUGGGGAGUACGACCGCAAGGUUGAAACUCAAAGGAAUUGACGGGGGCCCGCACAAGCGGUGGAGCAUGUGGUUUAUGUCGUCAGCUCGUGUCGUGAGAUGUUGGGUUAAGUCCCGCAACGAGCGCAACCCCUAUUGUUAGUUGCCAUCAUUCAGUUGGGCACUCUAGCGAGACUGCCGGUAAUAAACCGGAGGAAGGUGGGGAUGACGUCAAAUCAUCAUGCCCCUUAUGACCUGGGCUACACACGUGCUACAAUGGUUGGUACAACGAGUUGCGAGUCGGUGACGGCGAGCUAAUCUCUUAAAGCCAAUCUCAGUUCGGAUUGUAGGCUGCAACUCGCCUACAUGAAGUCGGAAUCGCUAGUAAUCGCGGAUCAGCACGCCGCGGUGAAUACGUUCCCGGGCCUUGUACACACCGCCCGUCACACCACGAGAGUUUGUAACACCCGAAGUGGGAUAGAUGAUUGGGGUGAAGUCGUAACAAGGUAGCCGUAUCGGAAGGUGCGGCUGGAUCACCUCCUUU
rnacentral:rRNA from 1 species